UGCUGCAUGGCUGUCGUCAGCUCGUGUCGUGAGAUGUUCGGUUAAGUCCGCUAACGAGCGCAACCCUCGCUGUGUGUUACAAGUGUCACACGGAACUGCCGGUCAUAAACCGGAGGAAGGUGGGAUGACGUCAAGUCAGCAUGGCCUUUAUAUCCUGGGCUACACACACGCUACAAUGGGAAGGGACAAUAGGUUGCGAAGCCGCGAGGCGGAGCCAAUCCAGCAAAACUUCCCUCAGUUCAGAUUGCAGGCUGCAACUCGCCUGCAUGAAGUUGGAGUUGCUAGUAACCGCAGGUCAGCAAUACUGCGGUGAAUACGUUCCCGGGUCUU
rnacentral:rRNA from 1 species